rnacentral:rRNA from 1 species
ACCUGAAGUAGAUGCUAGUCUCUAAGAUUUAGCCAUGCAUGUUUUGUGAACGCGUAUGCGGGAACGACGAACAGCUCAGUAAUAUUGCGAUGAUUUGCUCUGUCGGGAGAAGAUAACCAUGGUAACCUAUGGCUAAGAGACAGAAUAAGACGCAAUCCUAUCAGUUUGUUGGUUGUGUAAUGGACAACCAAGACUAUGACGGGUGACGGGAAAUCAGGGUUUUAUUCCGGAGAGGGAGCCUGAGAGAUUGCUCCUACGUCCAAGGACGGCAGCAGGCGCGAAAAUUGCCCACUCUUCUUUUGGAGGAGGCAGUUAUGAGACAUGAAAUAAAGGAAGUACAGUAAAUAAGUGCUUGUAAAGCAAUUGGAGGGCAAGUUUGGUGCCAGCAGCCGCGGUAAUACCGACUCCAAGAGUGUCUAUUGUGGAUGCUGCAGUUAAAAAGUCCGUAGUUUUUUUGUGCAAUUAAAAGGUAUUGAUCAAAGAUACCAAGUUUGCAAAUAUUUAUCGGAACGGAUAGGGAACAUAGUAUAGAUGGGCGAGAGAUGAAAUGACCAAGACCCCAUCUGGACUAACAGAGGCGAAAGCGAUGUUCUUAGACGAAUCUGUGGAUCAAGGACGAAGGCCGGAGGAUCGAAAGUGAUUAGAUACCGCUGUAGUUCCGGCAGUAAACUAUGCCGACAUCUCAUUCAUGAAUUAUUAGUGGGUGAGAGGGAGAAAUCUUAGUGUUCGGGCUCUGGGGAUAGUAUGCUCGCAAGAGUGAAACUUAAAACGAAAUUGACGGAAUAACACCACCAGGAGUGGAUUAUGCGGCUUAAUUUGACUCAACGCGGGACAACUCACCAGGGUCAAGUCUAUCAAAGAUUGAAUACAUGAGAUAGGCAGGAGUGGUGCAUGGUCGUUGGAAAUUGAUGGGAUGACUUUUAGCUUAAAUGCUGAAAUGAGUGAGAUCUUCUAGACAGGUGUUUUAUAACACAGGAGGGAGAAGGCUAUAACAGAUCAGUGAUGCCCUUAGAUAUCCUGGGCUGCACGCGUAAUACAAUUCUGAUUAUUUAUUAGACAAAUCUAAUAAAAAUAUUUUUCAGAGAGAGGGAUUGAUUCUUGUAAAUGAAUCAUGAACGAGGAAUUCCUAGUAACAGUGUCUCAUUAAGAGAUUGUGAAUGUGUCCCUGUUGUUUGUACACACCGCCCGUCACUAUCUCAGAUGGUUUUGAAGAUGAAGAGCUUAGGUUCUGAAUAUUUAAAACUAGAUAAGGUACAAGUCGUAACAAGGUCGCGGUCGGUGAAC